rnacentral:rRNA from 1 species
CAAGUCGAACGCGAAAGCCCCGCAAGGGGUAAGUAGAGUGGCAAACGGGUGAGUAACACGUGGGUGACCUACCUUCGAGUGGGGGAUAACGUCCCGAAAGGGACGCUAAUACCGCAUGACAUCCUGCGUUUGGAAACGCGGAGAUCAAAGCCGGGGAUCGCAAGACCUGGCGCUUGAAGAGGGGCCCGCGCCUGAUUAGCUAGUUGGUGGGGUAACGGCUCACCAAGGCAACGAUCAGUAUCCGGCCUGAGAGGGCGGACGGACACACUGGGACUGAGACACGGCCCAGACUCCUACGGGAGGCAGCAGUGGGGAAUUGUUCGCAAUGGGCGCAAGCCUGACGACGCAACGCCGCGUGGAGGACGAAGAUCUUCGGGUCGUAAACUCCUGUCGAGCGGGAAGAACGCUUCCCGGGUGAAUAAUCCGGGGAAUUGACGGUACCGCUAAAGGAAGCCCCGGCUAACCCCGUGCCAGCAGCCGCGGUAAUACGGGGGGGGCAAGCGUUGUUCGGAAUUACUGGGCGUAAAGGGCUCGUAGGCGGCCAACUAAGUCGGAUGUGAAAUCCCCAGGCUUAACCUGGGAACUGCAUCCGAUACUGGAUGGCUUGAAUCCGGGAGAGGGAUGCAGAAUUCCAGGUGUAGCGGUGAAAUGCGUAGAUAUCUGGAGGAAUACCGGUGGCGAAGGCGGCAUCCUGGACCGGCAUUGACGCUGAUGAGCGAAAGCUAGGGGAGCAAACGGGAUUAGAUACCCCGGUAGUUCUAGCCCUAAACGAUGAAUGCUUGGUGUGGCGGGUAUCGAUCCCUGCCGUGCCGAAGCUAAC